rnacentral:rRNA from 1 species
AACGAACGCUGGCGGCGUGCCUAACACAUGCAAGUCGUGCGGGAAAGUUCCCUUCGGGGAGCGAGUAGAGCGGCGCACGGGUGAGUAACACGUAGGUAACCUACCCUAAAGCCUGGGAUAACCUGUCGAAAGACGGGCUAAUACCGGAUAAGACCACGAGGGCCUCGGCCCUUGGGGCAAAAGGUGGCCUCUGCUUGCAAGCUACCACUUAAGGAUGGGCCUGCGCGCCAUUAGCUAGUUGGUGGGGUAAUGGCCUGCCAAGGCGAAGAUGGCUAGCUGGUCUGGGAGGGUGAUCGGCCACACUGGGACGGAGACACGGCCCAGACGCCUACGGGAGGCAGCAGUGGGGAAUAUUGCGCAAUGGGCGAAAGCCUGACGCAGCGACGCCGCGUGGGUGAUGAAGGCCUUCGGGUCGUAAAGCCCUGUCGGGAGGGAAGAAACCUCGCCGUUCGAACAGAGCGGCGACUUGACGGUACCUCCUAAGGAAGCACCAGCUAACUCCGUGCCAGCCGCCGCAGUAACAC